rnacentral:rRNA from 1 species
GCGUAAAUACCCAUUUGUUUGGGUAGUAUUUAUUAGAUACAAAACCAAUGCCCUUCGGGGCUCUUUGGUGAUUCAUGAUAACUAUACUAAUCGGACGGCCUUGCGCCGGCGAUGGUUCAUUCAAAUUUCUUCCCUAUCAACUUUCGAUGUUUGGGUAUUGGCCAAACAUGGUUGCAACGGGUAACGGAGGGUUGGGGCUCGACCCCGGAGAAGGAGCCUGAGAAACGGCUACUACAUCCAAGGAAGGGAGUAGGCGCGCAAAUUACCCAAUCCCGACUCGGGGAGGUAGUGACAAUAAAUACUGAUACAGGGCCCUUUCGGGCCUUGUAAUUGGAAUGAGUACAAUUUAAAUCCCUUAACGAGGAACAAUUGGAGGGCAAGUCUGGUGCCAGCAGCCGCGGUAAUUCCAGCUCCAAUAGCGUAUAUUAAAGUUGUUGUGGUUAAAAAGCUCGUAGUUGAACCUUGGGCCUGGCUGGCCGGUCCGCCUCACCGCGUGCACUGGUCCGGCCGGGCCUUUCCCUCUGUGGAACCACAUACCCUCCACUGGGCGUGGCGGGGAAACAGGACAUUUACUUU